rnacentral:lncRNA from 1 species
UAGUGAAGAAAUUUAAGGAGGGAGCUUACGUGACAUUUUGCAUUUUGGAUACAAUUCUGAUGGCAACAUGAGCAGAAAAAUCAGAAGAAAUAUCAUAGUAGUGUAGACAGAAUAUGAUGAAGGGAAGUGGAAGAGCAGAUACAACCAAAACAGCAUACCCAAGGAGAGGAACUGGCAAGAAGUGAAUUAGUUAGAGAAGACAGAAAAUGCUCAAGGAGGGGUGGGAGGUAAACAUGAUAGAAAACACAUUGAAUACAUACAUGAAAUUGUCAAAAUUCAUAAAAAUAAGCAUCUUAAUGAAAGAGAUUGUGCAUGAACAAGCUGGUAUCUGGUUUGGCCAUUUGUGUUAGGGAUAGUGUCAUUGACAGAGACUGAAGGGAAAGGGAUAGAUUUAGAAAGGGUUUCGUUUCAGAAGGAAAAUGAGUUUGCUUUGGACAGCCUAGACAGUAUGUGUUAAGUAGAUGCAAGUCUAAAGUCCAGUGCAAGAGACGCAGCGCAAGAGACGCAGAUUUAAAGUUGAGUUCCAGAUGUCAGAAGACGUAGUCGUUAAAGCAUGGUAAUGGAAUUGUAUCAUCAAAAGAAAAGACAGCAACUUACCCUAAUUUAUAGUGGAUGUAUUCCCUAGUUAGCUUUGAAACCUCUGCGUAGUACUGAACCCAAAAGGUACUCUGUGGUGUGUGUGUGUGUGACAUAAACCUGUGGAAGUUUAUAAGUUAGGCACAGUGGUUGAUUAGCCCAAUGACUAAUAGGAAAGUAGAAUGCUAGAGAAAUACUAUAAUGAAAGUUAUUUAAAACUAGUAUAUUGGCUUUUUGUUUUUCUGGACCUUUUUAUUCAACGUUUUGACAGUAGUUGACUACAAAUAACUUCAGGAGCUUGGUGGUUUGGUGAUAGUUUUUGUGGCUUGUGAGAGAGAAAACUAUCCAAAAAAAACUUAAAGGAAGGAGGGAAGGAACAAUGGCUCAGCCGUUAUGAACAUUUCUUCUCGAGGACCUGGGUCCAGUUUGUCAUACCCACGUGGCAGCUCAUAACCAUCUCUUUACUCCAGUUUCAGGAGAUGUGGUGCCCUCUUCUGACCUUUGCAGCACUACACCUGUGCAUGCGAUGCACAUAUAUACACAUGCAGGCAAAACACUCACACACAAAAAUAAAAAUAAAUCUUAAAAACCUAUUGCCUUAUAUAAAACAUGGCCUCUGUCCAUGAGUAAUAUGUGCUUUGAGAUAAGUAGCAUACAUAUAAAAAGUAUAAUAUUAGUUGUUUCAGUGAGAAUGAACUCUAAAUGGGGCAUAAGAGAUAGAUAGUUCAACC